GGUAGGAGGAGAACCAGGAGUAAGCAGUGUCUCAUAGAUCGAGAUUACGGAGGAUGAGAACACGUUAUUGAUGAUCAAUAGUGUGGAUAGCAGCAGAAAGAAUUAGAGUAGUGACCACUAGAUUUUGCAGCAAUUAAGUCUUUGGAUACUUUGGUCAGAGCAGUUUCAACAGAGUGACAGACUGUACCAGGUCAAUCAGAGGUAAAAUAUAGAAUUAGAAAAAAAAACUAUCAGG